GUGCGAGACCGAUAGCGAACAAGUACCGUGAGGAAAAGAUGAAAAGAACUUUGAAAAGAGAGUUAAAGAGAACCUGAAACUGCUGAAAGGGAAGCGAAUCGUAUCCAGUGUCUAUAAUCUGCGGCAUAUUUCAUUGGCGGCGGUGCGCGUGCUUUUGCGUCGGAAGCGGCUUUUGUUGCUCUGUGCUUUUGCUGUGCGUGGUGUUGCUGGUGCCCUGUGUUGCGGUGGGACGUCAGAGUCAGUUUGUAUGCUGCGGGAAAUGGCUGCCGAGGAGGUAGGUCGAGAUUUCGGUCUUGGCUGUUAUAUCUUGGUGGUUUGUUGUCGUGGUUGAGACUGAGGUGCCUACAAUGUGCUUUUGAGUGUACCGGGUUCUCAUUUGGUGGACUGUUUGGAUAGCUUGCUAUGCUUGUGGUUUUUUCAUCGGGUGAUUGAGUCUGGUGGUAACUUGUUGCUGUUCGGGACUUUG
rnacentral:rRNA from 2 species